GAUGAAGAACGUAGUGAAAUGCGAUACGUAAUGUGAAUUGCAGAAUUCAGUGAAACAUCGAGUCUUUGAACGCACAUUGCGCCCCCUGGUAUUCCGGGGGGCAUGCCUGUCCGAGCGUCAUUGCUGCCCUCAAGCACGGCUUGUGUGUUGGGCCUCCGUCCUCCUCCCGGGGGACGGGCCCGAAAGGCAGCGGCGGCACCGCGUCCGGUCCUCGAGCGUAUGGGGCUUCGUCACCCGCUCUUGUAGGCCCGGCCGGCGCUUGCCGACACAUCAAUCUUUUUUCCAGGUUGACCUCGGAUCAGGUAGGGAUACCCGCUGAACUUAAGCAUAUCAAAAGCGGAGGA
rnacentral:misc_RNA from 1 species